AAGCAACAGGCCCAAGUACCUUGACAGUUCAAUUUUAGCAUUACAGUGUACUCAGUUCACAUUUGAGCCUUGUACUUGUAUUUAGUUUUUACAAAUGUACCUAUUGUUAAUGUACCUAUAUAUAUUGUUGACUUGGUCAAAAUUAAUAACAGAUUUCAUUUUAUUUCCGCACAAAAUAUCUUUUCCCCAAUUCUCAUUCUAUAUCUUUGAUCUCAAUUUUCCUCUUAUGGAAACUUCUCUCAAUUUAUGGUAAUUUGCAAGUCUAACAUGGUAUCAGAGUGAGUUAAUUGAACUCAUCUCGUCACUAUCUUUCGAUCGAUCUUACCCUCCCCAACAGAUUCUUCAGUUUUUUUUUUUUUUUUUUUGAGUUUUCAAAACCCUAAUUUGGUAAAGUUCGCGAUUUGUGUUCGAAGCUAGAUCGCGAUGUGUUCUCGGUUCGAUUUUGAGGUUUCACAGUUCGAUUUGAAGCUUGUCGACGUUGAAUUGACCUGGGUCCUUCUCUGAAGAGACCUCUGGCAAUUGGUAGGGCUGACAAUGGACACUAUUUCCUGUAUUUUGAUGCUGACACUGUGAUACCCUCAUAUGUUUCUACUUUAGAUAUUCCUAAUGCUACUUUUGUAAAUAAUGCAUGUCGUGUUUCUGAUUCUGCCAAUAAUCCUUUUCCCUCUCUCCCCACUUGUAAUAUUUCCACCGAUUUAAAUAAAAAUGAUUUAUUGGCUCCAAAGGAUGGGUCAUAUGCCUUAUAAUAGAAUAAAAUCAAUUAAAUCCAUUUCUAGCAAACUUUCCCCUAAACAGUCAUUCAUUUGCUCUAUUUGUCCAUUUGCAAGACAACAUAAAUUGUCAUUAUCUGAUAGUUCUUCUUCCUUAUCUGCUCCUUUUAAACUGGUCCAUAUUGACAUUUAGGGACCUUACCACACACAAACUUACAAUGGCUUUAGUGUAACACCUCGUGCAUUCGGGCUAGAGUUCGACUUGUAAGAUGGGGGUAUAAUGGAACCGAUAUGAGGAGUAUAGAAAGUGUUUUAAAAACUAAUCAAGUCAUAAUAAAAGUCUUUGGACAAAGCAAAGUUGGAAGCCACUCUACCGAGCAUGUUUUCAAGUGAAUUUGCAGAAGGUCUUACUUCAAGUGCCUCUAACCCUUUAUUAAUUGGGAAUUUGGGAAACCUUCCUUGAUGAAAAUUGUAUCCAUUUGAAAUACUUUCCAACGGUAUAUUAUGGAGGUCAAGCGCACAACUGUACAAAAAGUAAUGAUCGUUUUACUAAAUAGUCGCAGAACUGUCUAAUGAAAUACGUCCCAUAAAUACAGUUUGUAUUUUGAGAUACGGUCCGUAUUUUGUGAAAAAUUCAGCCUUGACAUUCUUUUUUGUGCCAUGAUAAAAUACGGUCCAUAAAUACGGACUGUAUUUAUGGUCCGUAUAUCUCUCGACACAGUUACAUAUAAAUACACCAGUUCAGUCUUCUAAUUCUAUUUUUCAUUCCUUCAAGCCCUAGAAUGAAGUUCCUCUUCUCCUAUCAAUCCAAGUCAUUAAGGUAAGCCCUUCCAAGCCCCUCCAAGUCAAUUCAAACAUGUAUUCAUAUAAUCUAAUUAGAAAAUCAUUGUUCCUCAACUAGAGUUUUCAAGAAAAUCCAUCUCAAAAUUAACUACGUGUGGGAACAUAAUUGUUCUUCCACGCCAUGUUCUUCCAUGAUUAUACGAAAGCUCAUAAAAAAUCUAGGGUUCUAGAUAUGUUCAUGAUAACCCUAAGUACAUGUACCAUGAUAUACCAUGUUUGUAUUAAUAAUUUGUUAUUGUAUUCUUAAUAUUCAUUUUUGGUUAUUGAGAAUCUAUCCGUAAUCCAUGAAAACCUAUACUUUGCAUUCCAUGGCUUCUUACAUGUAAGAUAUGAACUAUUAUGCUUAUUUUCAUGAAAAUCCUACAUGUCUCCAUGUUUUCAUACAAGUAUAUUAUGUAAUUAUAUAUCAUUUUACAUUAUAUUUAUAAUUCAUGUUUACAAAUCGUGUUUAAGAAAAUCAUGGUCUCAGAUGCUACCUAUUUUCGUGUUCAUGUUUUUGGGAGUUGCACAAAUUACCGAGAAAGCUCAGAUAGCCUGAAACUACACUUGCCACCGUAGGAUAAGGAUCGCUCUGCCCAGUUAGGAUGAUUCCUUCAUGUUUUAUUGAUUGGAUCCUUUCAUGUCACGUUUAUAUCUCAUACCCCUAGCAAGGUAUGAGAUUGCUCUGCUGGUCGAGCCAGAUUUACAGGACGACGGAUCAGCUCGUUAAGACACUGCUCGUACCAGCUUUUUGGUGAGCCCCAUCUCAUUCGCGGUUAGUCAGUAUUUAUAUUUCAUGUUAGUUUUGCAGUUAGGGUAUGCCGGGGGCCUUGUCCUGGUAAACAGUUAAGUAGUCAGACUAAUGUUGGAGGUUUCAUAGAUUAUUUAGCUACGUCAUGUCAGAUGUUCAAAGUCGUAUAGCCAGCAUUGGCUCAGCAUUUAUUAUAUUUUCAAAUUAUUUCCAAAUCAUGUUAAACAAUAUUUUCAUUAGUAUUAUGAUAACUCAUGUUAUUCAGACAAUCCAUGUUUUAAAUUUAUAUUCCGCAUUCAGUUCAUGCCCUAUGUUGAUUCAGCA